UACGUAGGGUGCAAGCGUUGUCCGGAUUUACUGGGCGUAAAGGGCGUGUAGGCGGCCACCGCAAGUCGACUGUGAAAUCUCCGGGCUUAACCCGGAAAGGUCAGCCGAUACUGCGGGGCUAGAGUGCAGAAGGGGCAACUGGAAUUCUCGGUGUAGCGGUGAAAUGCGUAGAUAUCGAGAGGAACACCUGCGGCGAAGGCGGGUUGCUGGGCUGACACUGACGCUGAUGCGCGAAAGCUAGGGGAGCGAACGGG
rnacentral:rRNA from 1 species